UACGAAGGGGGCUAGCGUUGUUCGGAAUUACUGGGCGUAAAGCGCACGUAGGCGGUCUAUUAAGUCAGGGGUGAAAUCCCGGGGCUCAACCCCGGAACUGCCUUUGAUACUGGUAGUCUCGAGUCCGGAAGAGGUGAGUGGAAUUCCGAGUGUAGAGGUGAAAUUCGUAGAUAUUCGGAGGAACACCAGUGGCGAAGGCGGCGCACUGGUCCGAUACUGACGCUGAGGUGCGAAAGCGUGGGGAGCAAACAGG
rnacentral:rRNA from 1 species